rnacentral:lncRNA from 1 species
AACUAGUUGGAUGACUAGUUGGGCGACUAGUCGACCGGUCGCUUAACGAUAGGCCACAAACUCGACUUAACACCUUCACAAUUAUGGUAAGCAAUAGUUCCAUCCAUUGAGGCAAGACAAGUUCUCUCCUUCCCCGACACUCCAAAAGUAGAGCUCCAAAAAACCUAAACAACAAGACUGCAAAUAGUAAAUGAGAAUAAUAUGUCUCAUCAUUCUGCUUACAAACACAGAAGUUGAAACUUGUGGGAUUUGUGCACCUGACAAAUAUCAUUUUUAUUCAACAUCUGUAAAACCAAGAGACCAAAUAAAUGUCUUAAUUUUGGAUGAAACCUUUCCCGUAUAAAUGAUAGAACCCAACUGAAACUGAACGGAGAGCUAGAACGAGUAAAGAAAGUGAGAUAGCUCUUACAGAAAGAGCUAUCAAAAGAGCCUAGAGUCCAAAUUUGUUUAUUAGGAAUAUAUUCAUCCAUAUAAAAGAAAAGUAACUUAACAAUUUCCUAAUAUGUUUCUAGACAGUAGUUAAAUUGUAACCCAACUUACCAUUUCAACCCUAUUAAAACAUAUUUCACUACUGAAUUAAGAUCGCUACUACUCUGGAUAUCAUCCUUAAGGGCGUCGGAACAUUUUAAUAAAAUAUGUCAUAAUUGUGCACAAACUCCUCAUCUUUAAAUCAAGUAACAAAAUACAUCUAAUAUGCCUUCGAGUGUAUGCAAAUUUGCACCACACCAGUAAUCAGAAAGUGUCCUUUCUCAUAAUUGACAACUAUAAAACCACGAACAUCACAAGUAAUAAUAUCAAACACACACACACACACACACUGUUCAAAUUAUGGGCAUCACUUAUCUCCACUAAUCGAAUGUGUACCUUUUUGCAAAAUGCUUGCGUAAAAGGCAUUCAAGUUAAAUGUUUUGAGAAAAGUGAAAAAACUUUGAUAACCUCAAAUCACAAACAAAUAUAUCCAUGGACAUAAGCAUAAAAGUAUUUUACUAUCAGAAAUGACAUUUUCUUGGAGCAGAAAAAAGAAAAUAGUAAUGAUGAUCCAUGGGAAUAAUGACAAACUGAAACAAGACGGACAAACCAAGAUAUGAAAAAGAAAUAAAGAGAGAAAAGUUAAAACUUUUCCCAAAAUCAAACCUUCAUAUUCCAAGAAAAAUAAAGAAAAAAAGGAAUGAAAAACUAACAAAAAGUAAAUAACUUUAACCAAAAAGCAUAAACCUAUCUUCCUGGGAUAAAACAAUUAAAUAAUCACGACUACCUAUCAGUCUAAAUCAAAGGAGCAUAACUGUGCAAACGCAUUCCUGUAGAGAAAAACCUAUACCAAAACAGGGAAAAUCCAAUUAAUUUUUAAAAACUCACCUAAAAUUCUUAUAUCAGAGUGAAUGGAACAAUAAAAACCCAGAAAAUUUAUGACAAAAAAAGUACAAAAUUAACUAAAACCCCAAACUAUAGACCCCAAUCAUGAUUUAAAACCGCAUAAACCAAAAAAACAAAAUGAGAUCUUUCAGUCAACGGAUCGAUAAACUCAAAAACCCUGAACAAGGACAAAACCAUAUUCAAAACUAAUCAUUCAGAUCUAAAAUUCAACAAAUAAUAUCAUCAACAGAGGAAAAAGAUGAAAUGGCUAUUAAAAUUUAAACCACAAAGAACUUACAAAUUGAUGAAGCCAAAACCGAUCUCUUCUUGUUUCUCUCUCUUCUAUAUCUCUCUAAGACGUCGCUCGUUAGGUUGUUCGGUUUCUAUUUUUUCCCUGUUUUAAUAUUAAAACGGAAUUAAAUUUGUAUUGAAGUCCGAGGCUUUUUUUUCCUUUUUUCUUUUUGGGCCUAAAAU